GAACUUUUGCAAUUCUCUCAAGUUUUUCACCAAAAACAUUGAACUUCAAUUUGCCAAUUCUUCAUCAUCCUUCAACGAAAUCUCAAGAUUCUUUUUGAUUUGGAUUGGUAUAAUCAUUCUCUCAUGCUGUUUUGAUGAUUUGGAGGGAGAGGAGUGUGAAAUCGCAGCUGCAUCUUCAAGCUUCUUCCAUGGUGAUUGUGGAUUUUGAACAAUAGGAGUGAAAUUGACCAAACCUGAGCAUCACACAUUGCUGCCACGAGCUUGUACUGCUGCUGUUUUGCCAAAUCAAGCGCAAAUUCCAUCGAAUCCAGCACUGUUAUAGCAGGUACUUUAGUUGCUCAGUUCCUUGUGAACUAUUGCUUUGCUUUGCUUAAGCAACUUGCAUUUGAGGAAUCAUUGCUCGCGCUCGUAGAGUCAUCCCUUUGCACUCAACCCGUCCUCACAGAUACUUCACCAGACGCAAUACUCCUAGACUCAUGGAACUUCCCA